rnacentral:rRNA from 1 species
UACGGAGGGUGCAAGCGUUAUCCGGAUUCACUGGGUUUAAAGGGUGCGUAGGUGGGCUUGUAAGUCAGCGGUGAAAUCUCCGGGCUUAACCCGGAAACUGCCAUUGAUACUAUAGGUCUUGAAUUAUCUGGAGGUAAGCGGAAUAUGUCAUGUAGCGGUGAAAUGCUUAGAUAUGACAUAGAACACCAAUUGCGAAGGCAGCUUACUACGGAUCGAUUGACACUGAGGCACGAAAGCGUGGGGAUCAAACAGG